rnacentral:rRNA from 1 species
AUUGAACGCUGGCGGCAGGCUUAACACAUGCAAGUCGAGCGAGCGGCGGACGGGUGAGUAAUGUAUGGGGACUGCUCGACAGUGGGGGAUAACUACUGGAAACGGUGGCUAAUACUGCAUACUCUCGGAUAACCGAUAUGGGAUUAGCUAGUGGGUGGGGUAAAGGCCCACCUAGGCGACGAUCUCUAGCUGGUCUGAGAGGAUGGGCAGCCACACUGGGACUGAUACACGGCCCAGACGCCUACGGAGGCAGCGGUGGGGAAUAUUACACUAGGGGCGCAGGCCUAGUGCAGCCCUGCCGCGUGUAUGGAGAGGGCCUUAGGGUUGUAGAGUACUUUCAGCGGGGCGGCGUUACCCGCAGAAGAAGCACCGGCUAACUCCGUGCCAGCAGCCGCGGUAAUAC